ensembl:lncRNA
AUGUGUGCAUUUGUUUUAAAGCUAAAGUCACUGUGGAAGAGAAAGAGCACAGAAGCUGUGGUUGCUGUGAUCCUGGCCCUCACACAUCCAGGUAAUGGAGGGCCUCUUCCAUCUAAAUGCCAACGUGGGCAGAGUAUUUACCUGCUAAACCAUUACACCGCAGGUGUAAUACUCUUUGGCGAAAGAGACCAAAUGAGACAACACAGCUUGCCAAGGACUGACUUCAGCUUGUACCAAGCAAUACUCUCAUUUGUGAAUGUUGGAGGAGUACACUGGAAACUACUGUACAUAAUUCCUGCCACAUGCUCGGUCUUUUUGGUGGAUCCAAUGGAGAACAAAGCCGAGGAAGCAGAGUCCUAAAAUCAACUUUUUCAUAAAGUUGGAUUUUACAUUUAGGUAGA